UACAGAGGGUGCGAGCGUUAAUCGGAAUUACUGGGCGUAAAGCGUGCGUAGACGGCUAUCUAAGUCGGGUGUGAAAGCCCCGGGCUCAACCUGGGAAUUGCAUUCGAGACUGAAUAGCUAGGGUGCGGUAGAGGGAAGCGGAAUUCCCGGUGUAGAGGUGAAAUUCGUAGAUAUCGGGAGGAACACCAGUGGCGAAGGCGGCGAUCUGGGAAGAUACUGACGCUGAGGUGCGAAAGCGUGGGGAGCAAACAGG
rnacentral:rRNA from 1 species